rnacentral:rRNA from 2 species
AUUGAACGCUGGCGGCAUGCUUUACACAUGCAAGUCGAACGGUAACAGGGAGCUUGCUCCGCUGACGAGUGGCGAACGGGUGAGUAAUGCAUCGGAACGUGCCGUGUAAUGGGGGAUAACGUAGCGAAAGUUACGCUAAUACCGCAUACGCCCUGAGGGGGAAAGUGGGGGACCGCAAGGCCUCACGUUAUACGAGCGGCCGAUGUCGGAUUAGCUAGUUGGUGGGGUAAAGGCCUACCAAGGCGACGAUCCGUAGCGGGUCUGAGAGGAUGAUCCGCCACACUGGGACUGAGACACGGCCCAGACUCCUACGGGAGGCAGCAGUGGGGAAUUUUGGACAAUGGGGGCAACCCUGAUCCAGCCAUGCCGCGUGAGUGAAGAAGGCCUUCGGGUUGUAAAGCUCUUUCAGGUGGAAAGAAAUCGCAUCUUUUAAUACAGGGUGUGGAUGACGGUACCAUCAGAAGAAGCACCGGCUAACUACGUG